UUAAUGGAUGACUAGGGUUCCGGCUUGGCAAACAAUGCUUAAGUGACUGGUCCGAGAGUUAUCGACCUUCCUGAAGGUUACACGGCGGGACAAAAACCCGGGAGAC
rnacentral:sRNA from 2 species